rnacentral:lncRNA from 1 species
CCCUGAAGACCACAGGAGAGGGAAUCCCCACUGUACAUUUCAGGCUCCAGCCUCCCUGUCACCUUCAGUAUCUCAAAGGAAAAUAUAGCUACUUGUGUUUCCUCAUUGUGUAUGUUUUGGAUAAGUGGGCAG